rnacentral:rRNA from 1 species
CCUACGGGAGGCAGCAGUGAGGAAUAUUGGUCAAUGGACGAGAGUCUGAACCAGCCAAGUAGCGUGAAGGAUGACUGCCCUAUGGGUUGUAAACUUCUUUUAUAUGGGAAUAAAAUGUUCCGCGUGUGGGUUUUUGUAUGUACCAUAUGUACAAGGAUCGGCUAACCCCGUGCCAGCAGCCGAGGUACUACGGUGGAUCCGAGCGUUAUCCGGAUUUAUUGGGUUUAAAGGGAGCGUAGGUGGAUGUUUAAGUCAGUUGUGAAAGUUUGCGGCUCAACCGUAGAAUUGCAGUUGAAACUGGCAGUCUUGAGUACAGUAGAGGUGGGCGGAAUUCGUGGUGUAGCGGUGAAAUGCUUAGAUAUCACGAAGAACUCCGAUUGCGAAGGCAGCUCACUGGGCUGCAACUGACACUGAGGCUCGAAAGUGUGGGUAUCAAACAGGAUUAGAUACCCCAGUAGUC